CGCUUGCAGUAUUUCCCCGCGUUGCAUUUCUUUAAUUUGCAGUAAAUAUUGUUUUUGUUCUUCUCGUUUAGUCAGAACAGGGUUGAAAUCAUUAAUCAGUUUGACGACCCCAUUCUGCCAAAUCAUUCACUACCAUUCAAACUUCAACUUUUCCAAGAGCAUUAAUCGCAGUGUUUCAAAGUAGUUAUCAAAGUGCAAUGCAUGAUUCAAAAAUUGCCAUUCUUUUAUGCUAGUACGCAUCAAUAUCAUUGCGUUUAUUAAAUGUCAGUUGAAUAAUUACCAUGCACGUUAUGAUUACAAAGAAUGCUAAAUUUAUCAUUAAUAUUCUUGGGGGAAACAACUGAAAAAACAAUAAAAAUACUCACUCCAGGGGCCUACCAUCGUGCUCGUUGGAUGACAAAAAUUAUAUAUUAUUUAAAACUAUAGAUCUUUUUUAGUACAGGUUAAAGAUAUAUUAAUUAAUACUUUCAAAACAUCUAUAAAUCUCAACUUCAUGCAUCAUCAUCAAAUGCUAAACAAACCCACCUUGGAACAAACACUGACACUAAAGAAAUUGAAAAGAGCUUGAAUUUUUCAAAAAAUAAUUAUAUUUUUUGGAGAACAUUUAGCUGCAUCUGAUAUGACUAAAUUCAAAUUAUAGGUACAACAGUGAACAUAAAAAGCUGUAGGUGCUUUGUCUUUAAUUCGUUUUUGUACCCUAAAAUAUACGCCACUCAUGGCAGAAGCCCCAUACCCAUGUCCUCUGCAUUUAUUGAUACAGUGGAUGUCGCUUAUAAAACUCACGGAUAUAAGGUUCAGUCGCUUAUUAGACUCAAAAUCAGUUGGUACAGUCCGGACUUAUCCAAAUACACUCUAUCCUUUCUCCACUUAGAUUAUGCGGUUCAUUCGGUUAUAAGACUCACUUAAUGCUAGUCCCAAAGUGAGUCUUAUAAGUGGCAUUCACUGUAUCUAUAUUAAGUUUUAAUAAUAUAUUGGUAAUCAAUUCUUCAUAAUCUUGUGCUCCGUGUUUUUUAAUGACAAAGAAUCCCAAUAAUAAUUCCUUAACCCUUAUAUUUAAUUCAUUAUAAUUUACUACCACAUAUCUUAUCAUUAUAUUCACUUGACCAAGUUUAGUAAUAUCUUGGGUCAAAUCUAUAAUAAUAGAGAAAUAUUGUGUAUGACUUAUUUUUUUGCAUAGAAAGUUUUAAGUACUCGUAGCAAGAAGGUCAACCAACUCAUUUUGAAUCUUACAUCUAGAAUAUUUUAUUUUCUUCGUUCAUAUUUUUAUAUUUCAUUCA